rnacentral:rRNA from 1 species
CCUUACACAUGCAAGUCGAACGGCAGCACGGACUUCGGUCUGGUGGCGAGUGGCGAACGGGUGAGUAAUGUAUCGGAACGUGCCUAGUAGCGGGGGAUAACUACGCGAAAGCGUAGCUAAUACCGCAUACGCCCUACGGGGGAAAGCAGGGGAUCGCAAGACCUUGCACUAUUAGAGCGGCCGAUAUCGGAUUAGCUAGUUGGUGAGGUAACGGCUCACCAAGGCGACGAUCCGUAGCUGGUUUGAGAGGACGACCAGCCACACUGGGACUGAGACACGGCCCAGACUCCUACGGGAGGCAGCAGUGGGGAAUUUUGGACAAUGGGGGAAACCCUGAUCCAGCCAUCCCGCGUGUGCGAUGAAGGCCUUCGGGUUGUAAAGCACUUUUGGCAGGAAAGAAACGUCAUGGGCUAAUACCCCGUGAAACUGACGGUACCUGCAGAAUAAGCACCGGCUAACUACGUGCCAGCAGCCGCGGUAAUACGUAGGGUGCAAGCGUUAAUCGGAAUUACUGGGCGUAAAGCGUGCGCAGGCGGUUCGGAAAGAAAGACGUGAAAUCCCAGAGCUCAACUUUGGAACUGCAUUUUUAACUACCGGGCUAGAGUGUGUCAGAGGGAGGUGGAAUUCCGCGUGUAGCAGUGAAAUGCGUAGAUAUGCGGAGGACACCGAUGGCGAAGCAGCCUCCUGGGAUAACACUG